GGCCCUUGGGAAACUAGGAUUAGAUACCCUAUUAUAAGUAAAAUAAAUUGGCUGUGUAGAGUAGAGUUUAUUAGUCUUGAAAAACUAAAUUGCUUGGCGGCUUAUUAACUAAAUAGAGAAGUAUGUUCUUUAAUAGAUAAUGCACUAAAAUCUUACCUUAUGUUGCACAAGCCAUUUGGUACACCGCCGUCGAAAGAAUAGUUUUAUCGAAUUGUUCUUAAGUCUUUGGUAAGAAGUAAGUCAGGUCAAGGCGCCGACUAUCCUAAGGUUAGAAUGUACUUCAUUAUUAUUAUUAUGUCUAAAGAUUUCAUUUCAUGAAAUUUGAAAAUUUAAUACUAGAGUAAAAGAAUCUAUAAGUAAAUUUUGUUCAUAAGACUCGAUUGAAUAGGGCUCUGAUUAGUGUACACAUCGCCCGUCGCCUCUUA
rnacentral:rRNA from 1 species